rnacentral:rRNA from 1 species
GAUGAACGCUGGCGGCGUGCUUAACACAUGCAAGUCGAACGGAAAGGCUCCUGCUUGCAGGGGUACUCGAGUGGCGAACGGGUGAGUAACACGUGGGUGAUCUGCCCUGCACUUCGGGAUAAGCCUGGGAAACUGGGUCUAAUACCGGAUAGGACGAUGGUUUGGAUGCCAUUGUGGAAAGUUUUUUCGGUGUGGGAUGAGCUCGCGGCCUAUCAGCUUGUUGGUGGGGUAAUGGCCUACCAAGGCGUCGACGGGUAGCCGGCCUGAGAGGGUGUACGGCCACAUUGGGACUGAGAUACGGCCCAGACUCCUACGGGAGGCAACAGUGGGGAAUAUUGCACAAUGGGCGCAAGCCUGAUGCAGCGACGCCGCGUGGGGGAUGACGGCCUUCGGGUUGUAAACUCCUUUCGCUAGGGACGAAGCGCAAGUGACGGUACCUGGAGAAGAAGCACCGGCUAACUACGU